AUUUUAUUAGUUAAUUAAUAAUAUUAAAUUGCAAAUUUAAAGUAAAGUAAAUUUAUAAAAUU
rnacentral:tRNA from 1 species